AGCCGGCCAAGCUUGUCCGCAACUUCCUUCAUGGAUGGCCUUUCCUCGCCACUCAUCUCCAAGUACUGGCGCGCUAGCUCUGCGAUCGAUCUCUUCAACAAUCUCCGCGCUAUCGCGCGCUGUCCUUGACCUGAUCGUCCAAGAUCUCGUCGAGCCUUUGCCCCUUCAUCGCCUCCAAGAACAUCAGAGACAGCGCCUUCUCGUGCUCAGGGGCUUCCAGGUUGAACAACGCCUUCUUGCGAGUCAGCAGCUCUAGGAGACAGCAACCAGUGAGCAAGCUUGCUGCCUGCCCUGCCCGUGCCCGAC
rnacentral:lncRNA from 1 species